AUUGAACGCUGGCGGCAUGCCUUACACAUGCAAGUCGAACGGUAACGGACCUUCGGGUGCCGACGAGUGGCGAACGGGUGAGUAAUGUAUCGGAACGUACCUUUCAGUGGGGGAUAACGUAGCGAAAGUUACGCUAAUACCGCAUAUUCUGUGCGCAGGAAAGCAGGGGACCUUCGGGCCUUGCGCUGAUUGAGCGGCCGAUAUCAGAUUAGCUAGUUGGUGAGGUAAAGGCUCACCAAGGCGACGAUCUGUAGCGGGUCUGAGAGGAUGAUCCGCCACACUGGAACUGAGACACGGUCCAGACUCCUACGGGAGGCAGCAGUGGGGAAUUUUGGACAAUGGGGGCAACCCUGAUCCAGCCAUGCCGCGUGAGUGAAGAAGGCCUUCGGGUUGUAAAGCUCUUUCGGCCGGGAAGAAAUCGUAUCAGCUAAUACCUGGUGCGGAUGACGGUACCGGCAUAAGAAGCACCGGCUAACUACGUGCCAGCCGCCGCGGUAAUAC
rnacentral:rRNA from 1 species